UACAGAGGUCCCAAGCGUUGUUCGGAUUCACUGGGCGUAAAGGGUGCGUAGGCGGUCGGGUAAGUCUGACGUGAAAUCUUCAAGCUCAACUUGGAAACUGCGUCCGAUACUAUUCGGCUAGAGGAAUGGAGGGGAGACUGGAAUACUUGGUGUAGCAGUGAAAUGCGUAGAGAUGUGGAGGAACACCAGUGGCGAAGGCGGCUUUUUGGUCUGUAACUGACGCUGAGGCGCGAAAGCGUGGGGAGCAAACAGG
rnacentral:rRNA from 1 species